UAUUUCAGAGCAAGUUGUUGAUGGAUA
rnacentral:sRNA from 1 species